UCGAAACCUGCCCAGCAGAGCGACCCGUGAACACGUUCAACAUCRUGGGUGUUGGGGCGUUGCUCGGUGCCUUGUGUGCCGGCACGCCCCUAUCCCAAGCSGGGGGAGCGCCCACUUGUGGNNUGUUUCCCCGGCWAAACAACGAACCCCGGCGCGUAAUGCGUCAAGGAAUACAAACUUUAUGUGUGUACUCUCCCGUUGCCCGGUUAGCCGGGNNNGGGUGCGGUGCCAUGUCUUAACAAUA
rnacentral:rRNA from 1 species